rnacentral:rRNA from 1 species
CCUACGGGAGGCAGCAGUCGAGAAUCAUUCACAAUGGGGGAAACCCUGAUGGUGCGACGCCGCGUGGGUGAAUGAAGGUCUUCGGAUUGUACACCCCUGUCAUGUGGGAGCAAAUUAAAAAGAUAGUACCACAAGAGGAAGAGACGGCUAACUCUGUGCCAGCCGCCGCGGUAAUACAGAGGUCGCAAGCGUUGUUCGGAAUCACUGGGCGUACAGCGUGCGUAGGCUGUUUCGUAAGUCGUGUGUGAAAGGCGCGGGCACAACCCGCGGACUGCGCAUGAUACUGCGAGACUAGAGUAAAGGAGGGGGAACCGGAAUUCUCGGUGUAGCAGUGAAAUGCGUAGAUAUCGAGAGGAACACUCGUGGCGAAGGCGGGUUCCUGGACAUUAACUGACGCUGAGGCACGAAGGCCAGGGGAGCGAAAGGGAUUAGAUACCCCUGUAGUC